AUACUACUCCCUCCGUCCCAAAAUUCCCUUCUUAGAUUUGUCUACAUACGGAUGUAUCUAACAAUAAAAUGUGAAUAGAUACAUCCGUAUCUAGAUAAAUCUAAGACAAGAAUUUUGAGAUGGAGGGGGUACAUC
rfam:Triticum urartu cultivar G1812 contig399914, whole genome shotgun sequence.